rnacentral:rRNA from 1 species
GCUUAUACNUGCAAGUCGAACGAACUCUGGUAUUGAUUGGUGCUUGCAUCAUGAUUUACAUUUGAGUGAGUGGCGAACUGGUGAGUAACACGUGGGAAACCUGCCCAGAAGCGGGGGAUAACACCUGGAAACAGAUGCUAAUACCGCAUAACAACUUGGACCGCAUGGUCCGAGUUUGAAAGAUGGCUUCGGCUAUCACUUUUGGAUGGUCCCGCGGCGUAUUAGCUAGAUGGUGGGGUAACGGCUCACCAUGGCAAUGAUACGUAGCCGACCUGAGAGGGUAAUCGGCCACAUUGGGACUGAGACACGGCCCAAACUCCUACGGGAGGCAGCAGUAGGGAAUCUUCCACAAUGGACGAAAGUCUGAUGGAGCAACCCCGCGUGAGUGAAAAAGGGUUUCGGCUCGUAAAACUCCGUUGUUAAAGAAAAACAUAUCUGAAANUAACUGUUCAGGUAUUGACGGUUUUUAACCAGAAAGCCACGGCUAACUACUUGCCACCAGCCGCGGNAAUACCUAGGUGGCAGCGUUGUCCGGAUUUAUUGGGCUUAAGAGAGCGCGGCCGUUUUUUUAUUCUUUUGAGAAACCCUUCCUUCAACCNAAAAAUGCUUCGAAAACUGGGAAACUUUAUUGCAAAAAAAGGACAGUGGAACCUCCAUGUGUACCGGGUGAAAUGCGUAAAAUAUAUGGAAAAAAACCCAAAUGGCAAAGGGGGGCUGUUUGGUUUGUAAUUGACCCUUAAAGCUCCAAAGUAUGGGGUAGCAAAACAGGAUUAAAUACCCUGGGUAUUCCCUUACCCCAAAACAAUGAAAGGUUAAGUGGUGGGAGGGGUUUCCGCCCCUCUCUGGCGUGCACUUAAAGCAAUAAAAAUAUCCACCUGGGGGAAAACGGGCGCCUAGGGUGAAACUCAAAAAGAAAUUGAACGGGGGGCCCGCCC